rnacentral:snoRNA from 1 species
UGACAAUGGUGCGGGCAAUCUCUGAGUAUCUUCUUGUAUCUUUCCCAAGCUUGACGAAGCGUCUCGCCAUCCUGUUGUUCGAACCCAAGAAUUUGACUCCUCAGUGA